rnacentral:rRNA from 1 species
UGAGGAAUAUUGGACAAUGGGCGCAAGCCUGAUCCAGCCAUGCCGCGUGCAGGAUGAAGCAUCUAUGGUGUGUAAACUGCUUUUGUACGGGAAGAAACCACCCCUCGUGAGGGGUAUUGACGGUACCGUAAGAAUAAGGAUCGGCUAACUCCGUGCCAGCAGCCGCGGUAAUACGGAGGAUCCAAGCGUUAUCCGGAAUCAUUGGGUUUAAAGGGUCCGUAGGCGGUUUAGUAAGUCAGUGGUGAAAGCCCAUCGCUCAACGAUGGAACGGCCAUUGAUACUGCUAGACUUGAAUUAUUAGGAAGUAACUAGAAUAUGUAGUGUAGCGGUGAAAUGCUUAGAUAUUACAUGGAAUACCAAUUGCGAAGGCAGGUUACUACUAAUGGAUUGACGCUGAUGGACGAAAGCGUGGGAGCGAACA